rnacentral:lncRNA from 1 species
GCCAGAUAAGGGAAGCAGGCCUCCGAAGCCAGCAGUGGCAACCCACUUGGGUCCCUUUCAAUGCUGUGGAAGCGUUGUUCUUUCACUCUUCUCAAUAAAUCUUGCUGCUGCUCACUCUUUGGGUCUGCCCCGCUGUUAUGAGCUGUAACACUCACAGCCAGUGUCUGCAGUUUCACUCCUGAAGCCAGCAAGACCACAAACCCACAGGGCGGGACAAACAACUCCGGACAGGAGGAAUGAACAACUCUGGACGCGCCACUUCUAUGAACUUUUAUGAACUGUAACACUCACCGCAAAGGUCUGCAGCUUCACCCCUGAGGCCAGGGAGACCACGAACCCACCGGAAGGAAUGAACAACUCCAGACGCACUGCCUUUAAGAGCUGUAACACUUACCACGGAUGUCUGCAGCUUCACUCCUGAAGUCAGCGAGACCACAAACCCAACAGAAGGAAGAAACUCCCGACACAUCUGAACAUCUGAAGGAACAAACUCUGGACACACCAUCUUUAAGAACUGUAACACUCACCGUGAGGGUCAACCGCUUCAUUCUUGAAGUCAGCCAGACCAAGAACCCACCAAUUCCGAGUCUCACUUUGUUGCCUAAGCUAGAGUGCAGCGUCGUGAUCAAGGCUCACUGCAGCCUCAACAUCCUGAUCCCCAGUGUUCCUCCCACCUCAACCUCCCAAGUAGCUGGGACCACAGUCUAUCUGAAUCAUGUUAUUGGACCAUGAGAGCAAGCAGCUGGAUCUCAUUCUGUCCAGGCUGAAGUGGAGUGUCAUGAUCUUGGCUCAUUGCAGCCUCCUCCUCCCAAGUUCAAGCAAUUCUCCUGCCUCAGCCUCCCGAGUAGUUGGAAUUACAGGUACGCACCACCAUGCCCAGCUAAUUUCUGUAUUUUUUUUAGCAGAGACGGGGUUUCAGCAUGCUGGCCAAGCUGGCCUUGAACUCCUGACCUCAAGUGAUCCUCCUGCCUCAGCCUCCCAAAGUGCUGGGUUUACAAGCAUGAGCCACUGUGCCUGGUCUUUAAUCUUCUUAAUAAGUUGUCAAAAUCUAAUAUUAGCAUAUGUUAUAAAAAGGUAGAACUCUUCUCUGUAUGGUAAAAAAUACAGUCAUACGGUAAAAAAGGAGAACAAGUCAUUAUUGGCAAUGAGAGAAAAAGUAAAGAAAAUCUACUUAUUAAAAAUUUUUCUGUGGACUAGAAAAAUGGCCAGCCAUGAAUGUCAUUUAAAAGUUAUUAUAUAAUGAACAUUCAUGUAAUGAUUGCUUUUGUCAAGGAAUAAAACAUUGCCAGUCCUUCCAAUACACCUUCCUGACUGACACCCUCCCGUCUUACAAAGAUUAGCCUUAACAUGAUUUUUAUGGGAAUUGAUUUCUCAGUUGUCUUUUCAGCUUUAACUUCCAUGUAUAUGUCCUUUAACAAUAUAAUUUGUUUUGUCUUGUUUUGUUUUGUUGUAAAGAUUAUAUAAAUGGUGCAUUCAGUAUAUGCCUUUUGUUCUGACAGCUUCUCUUCAGUAAUGUGGUUCUAAGAUUCAUUAACGUUUUUGUUAGUAGCUCUAUUUUGUUAAUGUUGACUGUCUAUACUAUUCUUUUAUAUGCAUACCAUCACAAUUCAUUUAUUUUUUGAUUGCUGAAUAUUUACGUUGUCAUCAAAUUGUCACCAUUUUAAGUAAUAUUGCAGUUAAUAUUUUUCAGUAUGUAUCCCUAUAUAGGUAUGAGUAUAUAACAUACAAAUACAGAUGUAAAAUCUCUGGGUUAUAGGGUAUAGAUUUCCUCAACAUAAUGAAAUAAAUACAGUGUUUGUUAAAAUAACAAUUUCAGUUUACAUUCUCACCAGUGGUAUGUGAGAGUUGUUGUUGCUGUUGUCAGUUUUUAAAAUUUUUAUCAAUUUUUGUUAAAUUCUGUUGUGAUUUAAUUUGCAUCUCCCUAAAUACCGUUGAAGUUAUAGGUUUGUCAUAUGUUCGUUGGCCAUUUAGAUUUCCUUUAUUUAUUUAUUUUUUUUUUGGAAGUGAGAGUUCAAGCUUUAGCUCAUAUUAUUUUCUUUUGGGCUGUUCUUUUUUAAAAAUUUAAUUACAAAGGGACUCUGUACAUUUUGAGUAUUAGUGCUUUUAGGUGAUAUUAAUUGCAGAUAUUUUCUUCCAGUUUUGAUUUGAUUUUUCACUAUCUCUCUGUUAUGUUUUGAUACAGAAGUUCUUUGAUUUAAGUGUUUGUUGUCCAAAUUUGCCAUGUUUUUCUUAGUAAAAUUCAUUAUUUCUUCUUUA